GAUGAACGCUGGCGGCGUGCUUAACACAUGCAAGUCGAACGGAAAGGCCCAAGCUUGCUUGGGUACUCGAGUGGCGAACGGGUGAGUAACACGUGGGUGAUCUGCCCUGCACUUCGGGAUAAGCCUGGGAAACUGGGUCUAAUACCGGAUAGGACGAUGGUUUGGAUGCCAUUGUGGAAAGUUUUUUCGGUGUGGGAUGAGCUCGCGGCCUAUCAGCUUGUUGGUGGGGUAAUGGCCUACCAAGGCGUCGACGGGUAGCCGGCCUGAGAGGGUGUACGGCCACAUGGGGACUGAGAUACGGCCCAGACUCCUACGGGAGGCAGCAGUGGGGAAUAUUGCACAAUGGGCGCAAGCCUGAUGCAGCGACGCCGCGUGGGGGAUGACGGCCUUCGGGUUGUAAACUCCUUUCGCUAGGGACGAAGCGUUUUUGUGACGGUACCUGGAGAAGAAGCACCGGCUAACUACGUG
rnacentral:rRNA from 1 species